GAGGAUGAUCUUCGCGACAUGAUCCGUGAGUUAGGGUGCUGCGUUGGGAGCUUCCCUCAAAUCUACCUCGGCCUGCCGCUCUCCAACCGCAAGCUCACCAUGGACGACUUCCUUCCACUCAUUGCCAAAGCUGAGCGCUACCUCUCCGGCUGGCGUGCUCAGCUUCUGUCCUUUGGGGGGCGCCUGGUGCUGCUCAAUGCCGUACUGGACGCUCUCCCCACGUAUGCCAUGUCGGCGAUGGAGGUCCCGCCCUCUGUCCUACGAGCGAUCGACGCCCUGCGCCGCUCCUUCCUCUGGACCGCGACGGACAAAGCCUCUGGGGCCCAGUGUCUUGUUGCCUGGGAACGCGUCCUCCGUCCCAAGGAGGAGGGGGGACUGGGGGUUCGCGCCCUCCCGGUUCAGAACCGGUGCCUUCUGCUGAAGCUCCUUCACUGCCUUCACUCGCGCCAGGAUGCGCCGUGGGCUCGCUGGGUCUGGGGCAAGUUGGGGCGAUCGCUG
rnacentral:rRNA from 1 species